GGGGAAUCAGAAUGCUUGACACAGCAGUACGCGUUCGCAUUCCCCUCCUCCCCACCCAAAACCGCUUAUCUCUGGUGUGGCGAGAUAAGGGGCUGGCCGGCCGGUAAGAAACUGUGACAGCCCCCUUCUGAGCAUGGAGGGAACCAGAAGAGAACAUGGAUCCUUGAUGAAGGAGGAAUUCCAAUAAUUGACACCAUCGACGAAGACACCGAAAUCCUAACACGAAAGUCGAGCAUGAGUUCAUUCUGCAGUGUGGCUGCCAGUGAAAACAACAACAGCAGCAAUGAUGAUUGUUCAUUGUUGUGAACAGAUGUGUUUCUGUUCAGCCAGGAAUGACAACAUUUGGGAAAGAACAAGACCUGUGGUGAGUCAAGAGAAAGAAAGAGAGUGUGUGUGUGGGGGGAUAUUUUAAGACUUACCUUUCUGGCUUGGUGGUAUGCACCUGUAAUCCCAGCACUUGGAUGGCUGAGGGAGGAAGAUCUGAGUUUGAAUCCAGCCUGGGCUACACUGGUCAAGACUAGUCCGGACUUCAUAGAGAGACUCUGGCUCAAAGAAACAAAAUUAAACAAAAGACUCACCUGGAGUACGCAUCCUGGGAAAGUGGACCAACUUUUGGCUUGGGGUGAGGAUAUCCGCGUACCAUCUGUGCAUGGCGCUUCAUCAGCAGGAUGAUGUUGGGUAAGUCCCUGUCCCAUCCUUCCCUGCAUCCCCCCAUCCAGCAGAAGGCUGGCAUUAUUAAGUGCUUCCAGUCUUGGCUGCACAUUAGAAUAGUCUGGGAAGCUUUAAAAAUUUCAAAUGAUUAGGC
rnacentral:lncRNA from 1 species